CCUACGGGCGGCAGCAGUGGGGAAUAUUGCGCAAUGGGCGAAAGCCUGACGCAGCGACGCCGCGUGAGGGAUGAAGGUCUUCGGAUCGUAAACCUCUGUCAGCAGGGAAGAACGGUCACUGUGCUAAUCAGCAGUGAAUUGACGGUACCUGCAAAGGAAGCACCGGCUAACUCCGUGCCAGCAGCCGCGGUAAUACGGAGGGUGCGAGCGUUAAUCGGAAUUACUGGGCGUAAAGCGCUCGUAGGCGGUAUGUCAAGUCAAGGGUGAAAUCCCCGCGCUCAACGUGGGAACUGCCUUUGAAACUGGCAAACUGGAGUGUGUGAGAGGAUAGUAGAAUUCCAGGUGUAGGAGUGAAAGCCGUAGAUAUCUGGAGGAACAUCAGUGGCGAAGGCGACUAUCUGGCACAUAACUGACGCUGAGGAGCGAAAGCGUGGGUAGCAAACAGGAUUAGAUACCCCAGUAGUC
rnacentral:rRNA from 1 species